CCCAAUAACCCAUUUCAAACAAGGUCGAAGCCCAAUGAGGCAGGUGGCCCAAAACCUGACCCGAUUCUCUCCCAAUUCUUUUUCCUCGUGUUGGAAUCGGAAUUGGAAUUGGAAUUUGUACGUAGUGGCGGCGAUAUCUGGUUCAGAGUGGGUGUUGAUUCGUGGAGAGCAGCUGGUCGGGCCCAUCCGCGCAGUUGGCUUGGCUUGGCCGCUGCCGCCCGUGCUCGCACCGGCCGCCCCACCUCCAUCUUCCCAUGGUGGUGGUAUCAUCCCCCCCCUUUCCUCUUCCUCCUCCCCACGUGCAACCACCUAACCCCUCUCCCACCGCCCUCCUCGCCUAGCCCGCCGCCACAGCGGCCGUCGACGAGCGCCAUGCCCGCCGCGGCGUCCACCUCCGCGACCUCGCUGCUGCUGGGCGGCGGCAGGCUCCCGCGGCUCCAGCUCCAGUCCCUCCGCGCCCCCGCCAAGCCCCCCUUCCGCCGCCCGGCCUCGUCCCCGUCCACACCGCUCCCCAGAUGCCGCGCCAGCGCGAGCCCCCGCCCUCUGGGCCCCGUCUCCGCCUCCGCCCUCGCGCUGCCCGUGUCGGUGACGGCCGCUCCCCCACCGCAGGUGGAGGAUGGUGGCUGGGUGGGAGGCGCGGCCGCGGCCGCGGCCGUGAGGAGAGUAGCUGUGGCGGUGGCGUGCGGGGCGCUCGCGGCGGCGUGGUGCCGCCGGGCGAUGGCUGUGGGGGCGGCCACGGCGGCGGGAGCGGGAGCGGGGGCCGGGGCCGGGGCGACGGGGGCGGUGGAAGCUGCCGCGGGGAUUGGAGGGAUGGCGCUGCACGGGGGCUGGCCGAGAGUGCUGCAGAUUCUGCAGCUGCUCAGGGAGCAGGGCCUGGUUCUGGCCGCGCUGCUCGGCCUCUCUGCGUUCUUCUCCAUGGCAGAAACUUCUAUCACGACGCUUUGGCCUUGGAAGGUGCGUUCAGCAAGUCUACGGAGACCCAUUUUCUUAAACUCCUGUUGUUGCCAUAGUAAUUACUGUACGUACGCGAAAUGAACUAUGCUUCCAGUUUUGCAAUCGGUUUGGUUCACUGAGCUACGAGGUAGGAUAUUGGGAGAUUUUUGGAUACUUAGAUGAGCAGAUUGGUAUUGGUGUAGUGUUGCUGCUAAGAGGGGAUGCUGAGAUGGGGUGAGUGUCUUAUGGGUACGUCCUUGUAUCAACUACUAUACUCAUUCUAAAUGGGUUUAUGCAAUGAGUAUUUGUAUGAACAAAGCAAACGGAUACGCACUAGCUUAGGCUGUUGGGUUGGGCUGUGGCAUGUGUGGGUCGAGGAUGUGGCGGUUGUCAUGCACAUCCUGCUUCAGCAGUGAUGUGAUAAUUUUGUCUCGCUUGCUGAUGACAUAAUCCACAGCACAAGUUUGUAUUUGAGAAGUGAUGUCACUGCUGGGAGUGUUGCUGAAAGACAUGGGGAAAGCAUUAUUGCUCCUUCCUUUUUUUUGUAGGAUAGAGGGCUGAGCAGCAGGCAUAACUGAUUGACAAGCUGACAACAGCAAGGUGCUUCAGAUAUAAUGACAGUGUGCACAUGCGCUUUAGUGACAUGUUGUGCUAGUGAUCUGUAGGAGAAUUAGGCAGGGAAUCUAUGCAAGGAAAGUUUUUAUUAUUUUGAAACUGGAACUAAUGACACUGGUAUUGGAUUACCGGUCUUACUGACUUUAUAUAUAAUCUCCCUUCACACCUAAUCUCAUCAACUGGAUAGGUAUUUCUGGUUCAGAAUAUUUAUAGCUUUGAACAGAACAUUGGUGCUCUUGUAACUAUCAUUAAAGGGGUCCUGCCUCUUUGUUCAUGUUUAUCAACAUUUAAAUUCAAUUCUAAUUCUUCAAAGACUACAACAAGGUGAUCAAUGUAAAUUGAUGGCUGGAUUCGGUUAAUCACAUGUUGAACUUGCAUUUUAUUUUUAGUAGAGGUUUAUUUGCAAGCACAGGAAUAAUGAAGCCCUAGGUUUAGUGCAUUUUUUCCCUCCAGAGUUGAGCCUAAGGAUUCAAGUUCACUGACACUUAUCAUUGUGGGUUCAAGCAUUUGCACACAUAUUAGCAUAUUGAAAUGGCUAAAGUAUUAGAGGUUGGUGCUAGAGUCUUUCCAUAACAGCGCACUUGGGACUGAAGUUUGAUUCAUGCAAAAUUUUUCAAUUGAAUCAUGCUUGAUGUUCAAAAACUAGCAAGAAUCAUAGAAAUAGCAACACUGUAUUGUGUAAUAGGUUGCAUACCUUUUCCCCCUUUGCAUUUGUUUAUUUUUCUAACGUUGUUUGGAAAUUGCCACAUCAAGGCCUAAUUUUCUAGUGAUCUGCCUAGCGCCCAAUAGCUAGCUAGCCUCUCUACUCAAGCAUUGAGGCAUCACCCCCUUCUACCCACCUAGGGCAUUUUCAGAUCAGUGUUUUGAAACUUUGCUUCGUAGUGGUACUCUUUUCUUAUUGUAACUGACUGUAUGCUGAGAGCGAAUAUCUAUAUGCUGAGACUUUGCUGAUUUCUUUUUUCCUUUGCAUUAGGUUCGUGAACUAGCUGAGAAGGAACCUGAGAAUGGUGUUUUCAAAAUGCUCCGAAAUGACGUCACUCGUUUCCUGACAACUAUUCUCAUUGGCACAACGUAAUCCAUGGCAUUUCUAAGUUGUGCAUCACUCAUUGCAAUUUUGUUUUACUAACCCUAAACCCUAAUCUCGGGCAUAAUUUGUAUGAAAUAGUGUGGUCAACAUUGGCGCAACAGCAAUUGUUACUGAGGCAGCAACAGCAAUGUUUGGUGAAGCAGGUGUUAGUGCAGCAACAGGUGUCAUGACAGUAUGUCUCCUGUCUCAUACUGGCCUUCUGCUCUUGUGUAAGUGUUCUUUAAUCUAACUAUGGAGCACCAUUUUUUAGGUUGCCAUCUUACUUCUUACAGAGAUCACUCCCAAAAGUGUUGCAGUCCAUAAUGCCACCGAGGUCGCUAGGUUUGUGGUAAGGUGAGAGAUAUCAAGUAUAACUUAGUUUCAAACAUGUUUAUUUUGAGUACUGAACAUUGUGCAUUUGUUGCGAUAUAUCAGACCGGUCGCAUGGCUUUCGCUGAUCCUCUAUCCAGUUGGGCGGAUUGCUACUUUUCUGUCUAUGGGAAUGCUAAAGAUUCUAGGCCUGAAAGGGAGAAGGUAAGACUGUAAGAGUAUGUAUAAUACUCUAGUUCUUGAUCAACUAGAAGAUAAAUUCUUUGAAAAUAUGCCAACUCAAUAAGCUCAUGUUAGUCAUAGAUUAUAUCCCCCAUUAGUUAUGAUAUGCUUUCAAGAAGGAUACACAAACAAUAAAUUAAUUCAUGCCACAAGAACCACACAGAACUCUUUUUUAAGAGCAUAUGGCUUGCUCUGCGUAGUGGAUAUAACCAGGGAAGCACAAGGAUUGAGUUUCUAGGUGUGUGUGGGUUCUGCUCAGGUGGGCAACUCUAGCUUCAUCCAUCUGUAUCUUUUUCUUGAUGAAAUGGCAUGCAGCUCUUUUGCGUCAUUCGAGAAAAAAUAACCAGGGAAGCACACUGAUUGAGUUCCUGGUUCCUGCCAAAUAAAAUCUCACCUGUUUUCUUUUAAAAAUGGAUUAAACUUGUAUAUUACUAGAAUUCAAGUACAAAUGAGAUGGUACAACAUGGACUAGAUUAGACUAGUUUGAGUAUGUGUUGAGUCUAGUUUAUAGGGUGAUAGUUGUACUUUCUAAAAUUUCUAUAAUUAGUAAAUAGUGCAGUGACUAUAUUUUUAAUCAAUAGAUGACCGUUGACACUAUUCCAAGAAUUGCAUAUCAUCUGUUAUUGUUCAUGAAGGAUCUAAUUCUAGUUUGAAUUUGCUAGAAACUUAUUGAUUGCUUUCUGUAUAAUUUAGUUUACAAAUUGAAUUUAGUAUCUGAUAUUGUAAUACAAUACACAUUUGUAUGUUAUUUUUUGCAUUUUUUUUACAAAAUCCAGUACUCAAGUACAUUGAUUUGCUAUGUCUUUUAGUUACUACAUUUGUAUAUGUUUAACCAAUAUACAAUUGAGAUUCCUAUAUAGAUAAGAUUUAGUUUUUCUUUUUCAUAACUCUUGACAUUUCUGGAGAUCUACUUCUGAAUCUUGUGCAUCAUAUACACUUCUUUCCUCAGUGAACCAUAUGUUACUGAAGAUGAACUGAAGUUAAUGUUACGAGGAGCAGAGUUGAGUGGUGCAAUUGCAGAAGAUGAACAGGUUAGACAAUCUAGUAUAUGGAGAUGCCCAUAUAUUGUGCUGCAUAUUUCCUUCUUUAUUCUUUAUGUUUCUGUGUACCUCACAGCAAGAUUUUGUUAUCCAGUGCAAUCUAGGCAAAGCCUUUACUUACAAUUUUUAUAUCAUAUAGAAAGCUGACUACUUACAUAAAUAAAGAGUGAAUUAAUGAAAUUUCAGGAAAAUAGUAACUAACGUUUUUGCAUGAUUUUAACUGCUAAUUUAAUGUUUGUACACCAUCUCAUCACAUAUAUCCAGAAUUUGAAAAGCAGUAUGGCCCCAAAGGUUUGAGUUAGAUUAUACUGUUGCAGACUAGGAUUUUGCCUCUUGAUAGUUUACUAGCACACUUUGGCUACUUCUUUGUUUUCUUGAAAACGCAGGAGAGCUGCACUUCAUUAUAUUAAGAGGAUAAAGGGCAAGAGCCCGAACAACCCCACAAACACCAUACACACACCACACACAUCACACACUCACGCCCCAACAGAAAUGUUACAUUCGCGCCCGUAAGAAAACACACAACGCGACCACUACUAGGCUAAACAUUUCUAACUAUCGGGGAGGAGGGCAGUCAAGAAUGAUAGCUCUCGAGCUGCUGCCAUAGACCAUAAACGGCGCUCCUCGCCUGCUAUGAUCAGAGCGCCAGCAAGGUUUGGAGCUGCUCCAUCAAAGACACACCCAUUGCGAUGGUUCCAUAUAGUCCAAGCUCCGAGCAUAACAAGAGAAUUAAUUCCUUGCCUUGUCAGCCCAUCAGCAGUGCUGCUAGCCUUCUCCCACCAAGCAUGGAAGGAUAAUUCUGUAAGCUGAGGGGACAAAAGCCUGAUUGAACCAAAAUUCUCUUGUGAACACACAAUGGACAAGUAGAUGGUCGAUAGUCUCCUUUUCAUGGUCACAAAGGAGGCAAUUCUCCGGAUGAGGUAACCCUCGGCGUGCUAGACGAUCAGCUGUCCAGCACUUAUUGUGCGACCAGCCACAUAAAGAAACGGCAUUUGGGCAGCACCCAUGAUUUCCAAAUCUUUUCCCAUGGUCCAAAAAGAGUAGAUCCGAAAAAGAAGCCUUCAUAUGCCGAUUUAGCCAAGUAUUGUCCAUUAGAGGAGAGCCUCCAUAGGUGCUGCAGCUGAAAAUCCAGAAGUAGAUCCCACCAUAAGUGAAAGUAGUCAACAAACCCACCAACUGUGAGCGCUCCUUGUAUGUCCAAAAUCCAAGCCCGGUUAGUAAGGGCAUCCUGGACAGUAUGCUGCUUAACCCUCCUUUUAGGAGUAGCCACAAAAAGUCGAGGGGCAAGAUCUGCAAUGCAUUGCCCAUUGAUCCGAUCUGUCCAGAAAAGAGUGUUUGCACCAUCCAAUUUCAGAAGUUACUGCCACUGAGUAGAAGGCUCUUACUUGCUUCGGCACAUGGAAUGGUAGAGCAGCCCAAGGACAAUGAGGUUCUGUUUUCUGCAGCCAAACCCAUCUCGUGCGCAAGGACCAGCCAAGGGUUUUUAAAUCUGAAAUUCCCAGGCCUCCAAGCUCUGGUGGGCCACAGACUUUGACCCAAGCCACAAGACAAUGACCACCUUUUUGCAUAUUUUCGACCCCUCCAAAGAAAGCCACGCCAAAUUUUAUUUACCACUUUGAUAGCCAUGGAGGAAAGUCGAAAGCAAUAGCUAAGUAAAUGAGCAUUCUCAGUGAGAACUGAUUGUACUUGAACCCUUCUUCCAGCCCUUGUCAUUAGGUCUGCCUUCCAGCCAGGAAGUUGAUCUGCAGUACGAUCAAUAAUAGGCUGCACUUGUUUCUUUAGGGAGAGGGGCAGACCUAAGUAUUUGCAUGGGAAAUCCGAGAGGGGCACACCUAGCUAGUUUCUUUGGCUACUGUUAUCCUUUAGGUAUUUUGCAGAACCUUUCCAUAGCAAUCCCAUUAAUCUUUAGGAAGCGAUCCCAUUUGUUAAAGCCCCUGCAGGCAACUUUCAAGUUCAUUAUUCUCGAUCACAGGUAGUCAUUCUGCAUAUUUUUCCCUCAGAAUCAUCAUAAGAAUUGGGUUAAGUGGAUAGGUCAGACUAUAGCAUGGAAAUACAUAAGUACUGAUAGGUUGUUGAAACUAUCUAAGACUACAGAUUUAUCGUGUCAAUUUGUCACAAAUAACAGAUUUUAGCUGAUGAAAUCAGUACUUCUGCAGUACAUAGAAAUACUAAAUGUGUAGUUUUAGUUUUGCAAAAACAAGGACACUAAAUUUAUAAUUCUGUGAUAAAACUUCUUAAAUCUGUAGUUUUGUGAUAGCAUAGCCCACUCACACAUAUACAAAAAAAAAGAAAAAGAAAAAAAGGAACCAUAUAGUUAUUUAUGUGCUUAGAUUCUAGGCCCUAGAACUAGAACCUAUAGCUGUGUUACACUAUUAUGAAUUCCUAGUCCGUGCCUGCUUGUGCAGGACACUUUUCUACUUGAUCAGCUAAAGUCAGCACCUGAGUCUUUUAACAGGAUAUGAUCGAGAAUGUCCUGGAAAUUAAAGAUACACAGGUGAGGGAAGUAAUGACGCCUUUGGUGGACGUAGUUGCAAUUGAUGCUAUUGCAACACUUAUUGAUUUCAAAAACUUGUGGGAAACUCAUCAGUACUCUAGGUAUUGUCAACUAUUAUUGUCGCGUGUAUUUUCAAGUCUUAUCACUGACAUCUGCUGCUAUUUGUUAUUUCCAGAGUUCCUGUAUUUGAGGAGCGCAUAGAUAAUAUUGUUGGAAUUGCAUAUGCAAUGGACAUGCUUGAAUAUGUUGAAGAGGUAUGUCUCUUGUUUACCAUUUAAUGUAAAACUUAAUCACAGUGAGUCUUAUUUGCUCCACAUGAUGCUUCUCUAAAGGGAAAGUAAAAGGUGUAUUUUUCUUUUGAAGGUUGAGAAGCUGAAUGAAAUCACUGUUAAGAAAAUCGCACAUAUGCCUACAUACUUUGUUCCAGGUAAUUUUUAGUAACAUUGUUGGAUACAAGUAUCAUGAUGAACUAAAAGAAGGCAUCUGUCAGUAGUUAUAGGGUUGGAUGUUUUUCCACAACAAUUAAUCAUUUCUGCCACAUGUUUUCUCCCAUCUAUGCAUCAUGGAUGUAACAUAUGAUACUGUUUCAUCUGGCAGAUUCAAUGUCUGUUUGGAACCUAUUAAGAGAGUUCCGGAUCAGGCAGGUUCAUAUGGCAGUGGUCCUUAAUGAAUAUGGUGGAACUAUUGGUGUAUGUCCCUAUGAAACCCAUUUUUUAUACUUUACAAACUGGACACAGUUUAGUACUUGUUAAUAUUCUUGUUAUGCUUUCAUCCAAGGCUAGUUGCUCAAUUGAGACCAUUUUGACUUAUGGCACACAACGAGGUUCAACAUUGUUUACUCCAAUCAAUUUUUAGUUGUAACUUCCAAGCAUGCUAGUUAGUUUGCUAAUAAUUGAUGAAUGCUAGUCAGUACAUGGUGACAUUUUGAUGGCCAUUUAUUGGCAACACUACUGGCUUUUGUUCCACAAUGGUCGUGUUUUUAGCACAAGCAUGUGGUGCGAUGCUUCAAGUGAUCUUGCUGCACAGCUUAUGUAACUGCAGCAAUGGGGCACUUUUCAUCUGUUGCAGUAGCAGUCCCUGUUGUUCAUGGUUUGUUUCCUUUUAAGAUAUACCCCACACAUAGAGAUUAGUUAUGCUCCAUGCAGCAGAGAUUAUUACUUUCCACAAGUUUAGAGAUUGUUUCUUAGGAAGUAGUUAUGCUCACAGUUUGUUCAUCAGUUUCUGUUUUCAGAAGUAGUUGAUGAGCGAUGAACAUGUUUUGAUUAUGUUUGCUGCUGAAAGGAUAAUUCUUUAAGAUGUUUUUCUCAUUACUGAUGCUCAUUGGUAAAAGUUGCAAAUGAUUGGACAAAGCUACUACCCGUGAGCUUCCUUUGUCUCACAUACCCUUCGAGCAAUUACGCUUUAAUGUAGCAAUAUCUAUCCAUUACUUGCAGCAACUAAGUCCUAUUGUAUUCAGAAAUGUUUAUUAGAACAGUUUGUAAUUUCAUAUGUUUAUCACUGCAUGGGACAUUGGGAAUUACUCUGACCUUUGGCCAAAAAAAAAUGCAGAUUGUAACACUAGAAGAUGUAGUGGAAGAAAUAGUUGGUGAAAUAUUUGACGAGAAUGAUUCCAAGGUGAUUAUUUCUGGAAUUUUUUAUUUCAAAUCGCAAGUGGGUGUUCAGUGCCAUACAUAUGCAUGCUAUUAUUUUCUAUUUCUUUUUCAAAAUUAUUUCCCCCUUUCUUUUGGUUUAUUAUUCCCUUUUUGCCUUGUAACUAUCGUUCUUAUAUUACAUAACUGACUUUUCAUAUGUUGGUAAUAAAUAAUGAUAUGCUAGCAUUUGAACUUACGAAAUUUAGUGGGCCAAACAUACUGAGCCAUGCCAAAAAAGACAGGCAAAUCAUACAGUCAUAUUUUAGCAGCAGCAGUGCAUUAGCGCGGUGGGUACUGAGCCGGAGUUUGCAUGUGCCUGAAGGUGGCUGAAUGAAUAAGGUGGAUAUUACCCUACCCGCACCCAAAUCAAAAUGUGUAUUUUAUUUCUACCCAUACCCUCCCCAAUUAAUGCGGGUGUGGAUUUGAAUAUGGGGAUUGAAUAUCCAGCGGCAGGUAUAAAGAUUAGAUCUCCUGCCUCAGUGCUUCUCCAAGAUCUGGAAGCAGCUGCUUCACUCCUAUUUUCUGUAUCCUAGUCAAAACAAAGGAUUUUUCCAUGUAGCAAGCUAGUUGCUCUUUGUCAUUUGCUUAGGCAGUCUCUCAAUUCCUUCUGCUACUCUGUUUUUCACCCUUUCAGGAGGAAAUCCAGAAGAAAACAGGCUAUAUAGUGAGGCGGGGAGAUGGAACAUUUGAUGUUGAUGCAAAUACAUCAAUAGAUCACCUCUCUGAAGAGCUUGGUAUCAAAAUACCAGAGGUAUUGUUUCUCAUUUGAUCUUAGCUUUCUCUACAGUUGCUAUGCAUUCCCUUGGACAUGUGUAUAUUUAAGGAAGGUAUGGCUCGGAAAAUAGUAGAUUGAUUAUGAGUAGUACAAAAGGGUAGGCAAGGAUGAUCUGGGAUUUAUAGAACAAUACCCAAUCAGGGAGAUCCUUGCCUAAUAGCUAAUCAACUACAUAAAACCCAUGGAGGCAGGCUUAGGUGCCAGGGCCCAUGCGGCCAGCCCAAUAGCCCUCUGGAAACUCCAUUCUAACAUAUAUGUUGGAGUGGACACUGUAUGAUGAUCAUCGAAAUGUGAGUUCCAUCAUUUAGAGAUGCCUGGUUUGCAGAACCUAUACAGAUAUAACGUUAUUAUAUCUAUUUUUUGGUGGAAACUGGACAUUUAAUAUUUAGGUCAACAAAAUAUUCACAAAUGUUCUGUUUGUAAAAUAUGCCCUUGGUAGUCAUCAUUUAUAUGGUGCUCUGUAUUUCUGUCAUGUUUCUCGUAGAUUGGCUGAUAAUCUUGAGACACUUGGACACUAUCUUUUGGCAGGGGCAUCAGUAUGAGACGGUGUCUGGUUUUGUCUGUGCAUCUUUUGGCUAUAUUCCAGAAGAAGGUGGGAAAAUGCUUGUGAUUCUUGAAAAGGAUUACAGAGAAGAAAACGGUGAAUAUCAGGAGGAAGGUUCUGAUCGCCAAGAUGAUAGAGAAAAAACUCAAGCUUACGAACUUGAGGUAAUUGUUACAACUCCUUGUGUACUCUGUUUGCUCAAGAGUUCUAGUACCAGGUCAAUUAUUAUAAUGCGAUUAUCUUGUCAUCGCUAGAAAUCUUUACUAGUAUAUAUAACUAUUAUGAAUUUUCCUUCAUUACUUGAAAGCUGAAAGACACCACAAAAGCUUCAAUUUUCUUUGUUGAUGCAAUACCAUGAAACCUUUUUUGUUAAAUAACUCUCAUUAGAACCAAUUUUCCAUACAGGGCAUUUGGUUCUUAGAUCAUUUUAUAGGAUAUUUCGUACUAUAAGUAAGAACCAACUACUAUCCACAAUUACCUCUACAUGCUUGUUUGUGCAUAUAAAAAGACAACAAUACUCAGAAGGUUGCUGUAACAUGUCCACACUCCGCUUUUGUGGUGCUAAUACUACCGAACAUUUGUAAUUGCUUUUUUUAUUUGAAGCUAAAAAAAGAAAGUAUACAAAAACUAAUAGAUAAGAAAACCAACUACUCAAUUGUCAAUUCAGAAUUCAUACUGUGGGUUAUAAGGUUAUUUCAGUGAAAUUGUUUUGGUAUUGGUACACAACCUUUAUUAGUUGGUGCAACUCCCAUUUCCGGAAGUCUUCGUACACUUUAAUUGAAUUGCUGCAGCCCUAGGAAUCCAUAGUUUCUGUUUCACAAUUCACCCAAAGUUUCAUUCUUUGUUGCAGAAUUAAAUAACCUUCUGUAGUUGUUUUCACUACCUUUAUUACCUGGCUUCUCUUGCUCACAGAUAGUGGAAGCUAAUGCAAGGAAGGUGGGCAAAGUCCUAUUUAAGCCAAUAAGCAGUGAAUGUGUUGGUGUUGACAACAAGGGUGUGAACCGCCUGGUCUCCAAGAAGAUCAUCAAACGGAAGAAGCAGGGCUAUGAUGAUUCCUCCGGUGACGAGUAUCCAGAUACAACAGAGAAUGGCUGCCCUGCUGAGGCACUCUCCUACUCGGAUGGUAACAGUGCCUUGUUGGAAGAUGCAAGCAGUUCUAGUGCCAAGAGGUGACAAUAAAGGAACUCCAAGACCAUCGUACUACUGGUAAUAAUUACAGCACACCGUCACCGGUCCUAAUACCCCUUGUUACAACAGAAGAAGAUGAGAAGAACAUAGUAGUAGGCUACCCAAAAAAAAAAACUGCGAGAGCAACACCAAGAGGUUAACAGCAGUUUAAGGCAUUGCAACAUUUUUCAGUAGCAGGAGUAGCAGUAGUAGCAGUCUAGAGGUGCAGCGAGGUGUCGACGUCGACUUCACCAGAGACAUGUUUGUAGUUGUAGGUCUUACUGGGCCACAGCUCCACCGCAAUGGGGUCGCUAUCGCCGUGGAGCUGGAAGCUUUUGCAUUCACAGACAGUGGUUGGCACGGCCGGGAAUAAGGAGGCUGCGGCGGCAACAGCGGCAGUGGUUUCCCGCAGCGGCCUGCACGGGUAGAGCAGCUCCGGGUGGAAGAACCACUUGACGGGCAUCUCCCUCGGGGAGGCGGUGGCCGCAGGGCGGGGGGCGAGCACGUGGAGAAGCCUCUCCUCCCGCUUCUCCCUGAUCCUCUCCAGCUCCCUGAACCUCUGCUGCAGCAGGGCGAUGGAGGAGAACAUCACCUGGCCUUCGCUGCUCUGCACCCCCAUGAUGACUGGGCGAGAGGGGGAGCUCUCACUCCAGCUCCGAGUUUCAGUUACGUGUUCGUGUCGUGUGUAUCUCACUCAAGCGUCUGUCUACUUCGCUCGGUGUGUGUGGGGGUUUUGCUUGCUGCUUGAAGGGGUGGUGGUCUUGGGCAUGUGCGUAUUUAUAAGCCGCAAAGUUUUGUCACGGCGCAGGGCGUCGUCUUGUGGUCGUCUUGCAAGUUGCGCCAAUUCUUUCAUCUUCAUCUUCCAUUAUGUGAUGCUAUGCCUGUUUGUGUGUUUUGUUUAUGGGCUGAUUGAAAAACAAAAGAGGCACUAUUGGUAUGAGAGAGAAUCUGGGAGGAGAAUGUCACGUCGCCCGAGAAAGGAAGUGGGAGGCGUGCAGGUGAGAGAAUAAGGGGCGUGGCGUGGGAGAGUCCAAGGAAAUGGGGCUGUGGACGCUUGCGCUUGUUCCGUUCCUGGCGGUGGGAAUCGCCGUGUGCCGUUGUGAUGUGCGGGGUGGCCAUGAUUGCGCCUCUGUUUGUCUGUCACCUUUUUCCCUUGCGCAUUGCUGCAGCAGCAGGGCAGGGGAGAGGUCUGCAUGCCCUGCCAUGCCCUGCCCUGCUGCUCGUACUAGCUCGCUACUACUCCCUUCCCCCUCUCCAUCCAAACGGGCACUGCGAGCUUUUCCUGGUCUAUAAUGGCGUCGUUGGAGCUGUAGUACGUGCUGUUCGUAGCAACUGUGGGCAGCGCUUUCAGGUGUGGAACUGUGCACUCCAUGAGCCAUUGUCUUCGUUUGCGUGUGUGAACGUGUUGGAGAGUCUGGGAGCAGAAAGUCUGCGUUGAACGUUACUUCUUUGGGUCUUUGACUGGUGCGUCCAUAGAUCUGUGAAUGGGAGCGCUGAUUGCACGCUGCGUAGUACAGUGCGUUCGAGUAACGCUGAGACGGCGUGCUGCUUUGAAGUUUCAACUUUUGGUUAAUUCAGGAAAGUUGAUUGAUCUUAUGUUUUUUGACGGCCAGGUAAACACGGCCAAUUGCACCGGCGUCAAAAAGACCUCUGUCAUCCGAUGCUUUGGACAGUAAUUGAGAUAUUCGUAACAAAUGCUUCACUACCCGAAGAGAAAACUAGUUUUCGUUGGUUUCCGCAUUUUGUGAAAAUAAGAAAGGGCAUGUUUGAGUCAGAGUCGGGUUAUUAUAAUUGGAUUAUCGACUCUAAUAAUUAGAGUGCUAGAUUUUUUGUGGUGGAACCUAUCCAUUUCUUGCCUAGCCAGCCAACUAUCAUGAUGCUACAUGGUAUUUAAGUAACGACCAUUUUCUCAAAUGGUCAAGGAUUAUAUUCUUCUUUGAUUUUUUUUUCCCUUCAAGUGGCCUAGGGUUUUGUAGUCUAAUGUGAACAAUAUCAGGUGAAAACAAAAUAGCAUCAAAGAAUAGAUAGCCAAAAUGCCUAACGAAAAGGAAAAUUGUGGGUUACAUGUCUCAUGAAUUAUUUGAUGAAGUAGAAUAAGAUACGUUCGGUUAUUUGAGAGAAAAAAAAACUGCACAACAUAAAAAAAUAACUGUUUGCCUAGUUGGCUAAGAAAAAAUAUAGUGGGCUCCAUGGCUCCUAAGACUCUUUAAAUAUCAUGUAAAUGGAUAUAAAAGAAGUCAAUAAAUCAUUCUGCUGAUAUUGACUGAAUUAUUUGCUAUCAACAAUUAUCCAAAAAAGAUUUCUUUAAGAAUAAUAUUUCUACCAUGUAAAACAAGAAGAAAAAGACAAAUUAAUCGGAACUUUUGUUUGUGGCUGGAACUAUUGUAAAUGUCAUUGUUGAGUUGAGAUAUUUUUUUUUUGAAGUUCCCUUUUUGCGAGGAAUGAGUAAUCUGAACGUUAUUUGUUUGUGGUUGUUGAUUCCCUGGAGCUGUUAUAGAAGUCAUUAUUGAGUAGAGAUUUUUUGAAGUUCCUUUUUGCAACGAAUGAGUAAAUAGUUGCAUAGAUGUUUGAUGGUAUUAGCAUACUCUGCUUCUAAAAUAAUGAAAGGGAUUUUCCGUUACUAUUUAGUUGUGGACUGAGGCCUGAAGAAGUAUGUUUUGAAACUCGGAAUUUCAUGGAGGAUUUGUAGGAAUCCCAUAUAUAAUAAACAUGUCAAAAUUAAUCCUCCUAUAUUUUCUUGGUCAUUUUCUAGAGCUAGGCUCAUUUAUCUUUAAUUUGUCUAGUGAAGAGUAUAUGUAUAUCCUUUGCUCCAAACAUGUAGUGGUGAGUGGAGUUUACUAAUAUUAUUAUGUGUAGUUAACCUAGAACUAGAAGCUUGGUAACUGAGCCUUAUCUAAUCUGGCCCUAAACUAACUUAUCAUCCAAACUGAUCAGUUGGAGUCUUGUGACGAUGAUAUCUCUGGUUUGUUGUGGAACGGGACUAGUACUGCCGGACAUAUUAUACAUUGGAUGCAUGCGACAUAUAUACAGUGUUGAACUUGUUUAUAUUAAUUUAUCCUGGAUAGCCAAUAGUAGCCCAUAACAUUAACAUGCAACAUAGUAUAUGCAUUUGCAUGUACUGCUAGUUCCCUGCUACGUACGAUCCUGACAGUAGGCACCUAAUCUUUCCAUGCCCCAAUAUUUUACCGCCGCUGUCGCUUCCAUUCUAGAGAGAGAACAAUAUGACCAUCUUGUAAAACAUUCUAGAGAAGAGAUGCAUGGAGAGUAUGGCAAUAAUUUAAGCAGAUUGAUGGGAGCGAGAUAUUUUUAAAGGCAGAUCAUCGAUUGAUGCAUGGGAGCGAGAGAGCUUAGCAGAGAAAAUAAAGAAGAUUGGUGAUUGGUGAUAGGCCGGGGCAGCCGUGGUGCAGCAGCAGCUAGAACUAGAGAAGCUAAAAGGAAGGCUGAUGGCAGGGCAGGGCAGUAGUUUAAGGACGGGUCCAUGCCUGCAGCUAGCUAGCAUCUAUCGACGUUCCUCCGUUGUCGCGGAGCCGGUGGACGCGAAUGGCAUGCGUGGGUGCACUACCCUGCUGAUGCACACAGCAUGCAUUGCUGCCUGCAUGCGACAUGGUAUACAGCUCCCGGCCGGCGUCUCUCCUCUCCUCUCUUCUCUUCUCUUGUCCAUCCAUCGGCAGCAUACGGUCGGUCACUCGCAGCAUGCAUGCUCCUCUGAUCGAGCUCUGCUGGUGUCGUGUCGUGUCGUCGAUGGAUCGGGGCCGGGUUGGGUGUUGCUGCAUUGCAUGCUCCCUAAAGCGCCGCCCUUGUUGCCAAAGUGAAUGCUGCCGACGACGACCGCCGCGCCGCCCGUCUUCUUUUUCGGCGGAGGGGGGCGGCCGGGCACGGGCACGGGCACGGCACAGUCUUCCGGGCAGGGGCAGGGGCAGCCGGGCAAGCCAACACCUGCUAGCGGACGAGAAAUUGAAUCGAAUGGGAAACAAAGAAAAAAUUGAUGGCUGAUGGCUCCAUCUUUCUUUCUGUCUGUCUGUCUGUCGGUCAGUCAUUUUACUAAUUUAUUUGACUGCGCUACGGAGACGACAGUGUAACAUUUUUAUUUGUAUUUAAUAAUUAUUAUUUAACUAUAGACUAAUUAGGCUCAAAAGAUUCGUCGCGUAAACUAUAGACAAACUGUGCAAUUAGUUUUUAUUUUCGUCUAUAUUUAGUACUUUAUACAUGUGCCACAAGAUUUGAUAUGACGGGAAAUUUUAAAAAGUUUUUGAAUUUCGAAGUGAACUGGUCAAAUAUGCAAUGCUUGUACGUGCGCACUAGUUUAUGCCAAUGAUUCAUUUUUCGCGGAUCCUCCGAAUUUCACACCAUACAGUCAGAAUAUAAUUGCUCCAAGACACGUCAAUUUUGAUGCGUCAAUUUGUGCAUGUGGUUCCUGGCACUACUGGAUCCGGCUUCUUUGCCGAGAGCCGCGAGCCCUCGGCAAAUGCCUAAAAGCCCUCGGCAAAGGCUUUGCCGAGGGCCAUAAACGCCCUCGGCAAAGCCUACGGCGCCGUCGAAAAACGUCAAUAUUGACGUCGUCUUUGCCGAGAGCCAUGCUGGCAGGCUCUCGGCAAAGAUUCUUUAUUUUUUUUAAAAAAAGCCUUUGCCGAGAGCCCUGCAGGAAGGCUCUCGGCAAAGAACCCCUUUGCCGAGAGCCAGACAUCCAGGCUCUCGGCAAAGAACCCCUUUGCCGAGAGCCAGACAUCCAGGCUCUCGGCAAAGCUGUAGUUCUUCUGAACCCGGCUUUCUAUCUUUGCCGAGUGCCAGCCAUCCAUGCUCUCGGCAAAGCUGAGAAUUUAGUUUUUUUUUCUGUUUUUUAUCUGUUUUUUACAUGCACAGCCACAUAUGUAUAUAUAUAUAUCACAAAUCCCUUUGUCUAUAUCACAAUCCACAUAUAUAUCACGCAUGAAACAUAUCGAAGUCCACAGAUAUCACAAAUCCACAUAGAUAUGACAAAUAUAACAUUACGUCCAACAUAAACCAUAAGUCACCACAAGUUCAUAACAUAAACCACAAGUCCACGUGAAUAUCACUCCUCGAAGUCGCUAGCGCCUCACCCCUAGUGCUGUGACUCUGACCUGUCGUCGCCGUGGCCUCCGUCGUGUCCCGAGCCUCCAUCUGGCCAAGCCGACCAGGGUGAGUGCCCCCCAGGGUGUGUAGAGCUCGCACCUGCCCACGGCGCCCACAUGGCCUGCCCUGGCACCGACGGGUACGGGUACGAGUACCCGGGGCGCGGAGGAGGGCUGCCGGACAACCCGGGGUGGCCGUGCUGCGGAUGGGCACCAGGCCACGUGUGCUGCGUACUUGGGUGGCCAUAAGUAGUAACCUGCCACCCACUCCUUGGAGAAGGGGUCGGGUUCGAACCCCACGACUGAUGCUACAUAAUAUAAAAGCGAACUCAUUAGUAUCUGCAGGACGGCCACACAAGCCAAAGCAAUAGACAAACAUAUAUACACUCACCGGACUGCCUGCAGGGGCAGGAACAGGGGGUGGAACAGGGGGUGGAGCGAAGAGCGAGGCAGGCAGCGGAGGCGCUGUAGAGCUGUGGAUGGACUGGAAGUAUCCGACUAGGUCCGAGAUCUGACGCUGCGUGUGCUGCUGCUGUGCCUCCAUGUGGCGCCGAUGGGCCUCGUCUCUGGCCGCCAGCGCGGCCGCCAGCUCUCGCCGAUGAGCCUCCUGCAGCUCGUCCUGCCUGGCCCGCAACUCCUCUAGCUGCGACUGCAAUAUUACACCCGCAAUGGUUAAACAAUGCAAAAGGAGAUGUAUAUAUGUAAAAAUAAUGGACGAUGGAUAAAGCUGUAGUUACCUGCAUCGUAGCUAUCUGCUGCACGGAGCUCGGCUGACGAGGCCGUAUGGGGACGUCGGAGGUCGAGCUGCUCCCCUGCCGAACCUCGCGGAGCGUGGGUACGGUGGCCGGGUUGAUUGCGCUGUGGGCAAUCAUGUACCGGCCGUGCUGCUUCCCUCCUCCCGUCCUCAUGAGCAAGUCCGUGUCCGAGACCCUUUGCCGUGGGCCGUCCAGUCUGGCUCUCGGCAAAGACCCUUUGCCGUGAGCCUAACGCGCAGGCUCUCGGCAAAGAACUGCUGACUUUUUUUAUUCUUUUUGAAUUUAGAGCUGAGUUUUUUUUUUUGUCCUUGUGACUCAAUUUCUAAAUACAUUUUAAAAUUUGGCAUUAAUUUGACUUUUUUUGCUAUAUUUAACUAAUUAAUCUUGUUUCUUUAUAUUUUUUCACAUAAUUCAAAUUUCAACUGUAGGUACAUGAAAUAUUACAACUCAAUGAUUCGAAAAAUGAUAGUCAAGAUAUUUGGUGUACGUUGAGGUCGUAACCACAACCACACAUGAAAUCUCAACCCUCUCGCUAACAUAACAUGUCAAGGAAUGUGAGGGAAAAUGGAUUUAUAAUUAUAUAAAUUUCAAAUAAACUCCAAAAAUCACGAAACUUGGCGACGUGUCGUGUUAUCGCAUGUGGAGGCUGUGGUAAAAAAUUCAUAAGGUUCCGAGCAAGUUGCGACACCGGAUGUCUAAAACCCAGACAUCUCCACAUGUUAUCGAAUGUGAUCACAUGCGGAGAUGUCUGGGUUUUAGACAUCUCGUGUCGCAACUUACUCGAAACCUUAUGAUUUUUUUACCACAGUCUCCACAUGCCAUAACAUGACACAUCGUCAAGUUUCGUGAUUUUUGGACUUCAUUUGGAAUUUAUAUAAUUAAAAAUCACUUGUACGACACAUGGAUGGUCAUGUUUUAUAUACAAGAAAUUCAAACUCUUGGGUGAGUUUAUGGAUACAACAUCAAAAUGCAGUCUUGAACAUGAGUAUAAUUUUUUGAAUGACUAUAUUUUAUUAUUUCAUGCUCCUACAGUUCAAAAUUACUUUUUCGAGAAAAAUACAAAUAAAAUAAUUUAAUUAAAAAAUAUAGCAAAAUGUUAUAAAAAGCUCUCAAAUUUGAACAUGUGCUUAUAUACAAUAUGUAAGGGUUACAGAAAAAGUUUGAGUACAAAACUAAAAAAAAUCUUUCUUCUUUGCCGAGAGCUUGACAAGGCACUUGGCAAAGGCCUCCUCUUUGCCGAGAGCCUAACGCCGUGGCUCUCGGCAAAGGUGACGACAACGGUUGCCGUUACCAGCGCUGCUCCUUUGCCGAGAGCCUAUCUUUGCCGAGAGCUAGGCUGUCGGCAAAGCUAGCCUUUGCCGAGGGCUUGCCUUUGCCGAGAGCUUGACCAUCGGUAAAGUUUCUUUGCCGAGGGUCGUUUCUGACUGUCGGCAAAGGCAGUCUUUGCCGAGGGCUAGCUCUCGGCAAAGCUGAGCCCUCGGCAAAGCUCUCGUUUCCUGUAGUGUGGGCUUUGAAUUGAUCGAUGGCAAAAAGCCGUAAUGGAAGCACGUCGCGUCUUGAAUGCAUGCACUAUAUAGGAAUAUAGCUACACAAAAGAAGAGAAAUAAUGACACACAUAGUAGUAGCUAGCUAGUAAAGUGUGUAUGUAAGGCCUUGUUUAGUUCCCAGAAAAUUUUGCAAAAUUUUUCACGGUCCCCGUCACAUCGAAUCUUUAAACGCAUACAUAAAGUAUUAAAUAUAGACGAAAAUAAAAACUAAUUGCACAGUUUGGUCGAAAUAGACGAAACGAAUCUUUUGAGCCUAGUUAGUCCAUGAUUGGAUAAUAUUUGUCAAAUACAAACGAAAGUGCUACAGUGUCGAUUUUGCAAAAUUUUUCGGAACUAAACAAGGCCUAAACCUAAAAGCCCAUGCAUUAUUGCUUUUUAAAAAGUUAAAGCGGUGAUGGAUGGUUUUGUUCAUGGCUCGAGGAGGAUGUGUCCUAGCUAGUUGUUGGUGGGGGAGGUGAGAGUACCUAGGAAAAUUUGCUUACAUUUUCCUGUACAUGCAUGCAUGCAACGCUAAUUGGAUGGAUAUGGUCGGAACAUGCAUGGGUCCACCAUUCACAUCUCUUGGUCCUACACGCACGCCUACUAUUGUGAUGCGUCUCAGCUUUUUAAUGUGCCUGCGUUGCAUGCAUGCAGCUGGGUACGUAAGGACACGCCGCAAGCUGCCCAAACUCUAGCUCUGCUUCCCGCAUUGCAUUGCAUUGUAUCUACCUCGUGGCGCAUUAGGGUUAGAGAGAGAGAGAGAGAGAGAGAGAGAGAGAGAGAGAGAGAGAGAGAGAGAGAGAGAGAGAAGUGUGGUAUAGCUAGCAUGCAUCCAUAUAUAUCCGAUCGACCUGUAGUUCAUGGCACAUUCAUUAGGUUUGGAAGAGUGAGAUCGAGGCAGGACGAUAUGUAGUACGUCGUCGUCCUUCGUAUAAACGGACAUUCGCUCAAUGUUGAAUUGUUGACAGACGACGAUGCGCGCGGCACUUUGUUUGACCAUGCAUGCAUUCAUCCGUGCAUGCAUGGAGCGUCUAUGUGCUUGUCCCUGAAUAAACUAAUUAAUCACUGCACGAACUCGAUCGCCUUGCUGUCAACUUAGCUUAGCUUAUUACAAGUGUGUUAACGACAAGCAAUCAUGGAAAUGAGCUGCAUAUAGACACUGUUCACAAUGCACGUUAUGUUGGAGCACUAGCUAUAGCUAAUUAAUGAGCCAGCAAUUAACAAAACGCCUGCUAAACCAAAAUAUGCAUUUAAGCCAUGUUUCGUUUCCUCCGGUAAAGUUUAACUCCUGUCAUAUCGAGUGUUUGGACACAUGCAUUAAAUAUUAAAUAUAAAUUAUUUACAAAACUAAAAUAAAACUAGAGAGUAAUUUGCGAAAUAAAUCUUUUAAAUCUAGUUAGUCUAUAAUUAGAUACUAAUUGUCAAAUAAAACAGAAAUAUGCUAUAUGCUACAGUACAUCCUUAACCGGCAAGUACAGGCCGGGUGAGGCAUGUCGGAUGCUAGAGAUGGCCAAAUGGGCUAAGCCCAAUAAUACGCAGCCUAAGCACAUAUGGGCCUACUAAAGCAUCGCAUUACAUUAUGGGUCGAGCCACUAUGUGUCUCGUGCCCUUUUUUACCAUUCAAAAUGGGUGCUCUCAGGAUGGAUCAUAAUUAUGCCCCUUUUUAAUUCGAGAGCAAUGUUGAUCAAAUUUCGUCGUAGUUGCAGCACAGCCAAAAAAAAAAACUAACAAAAAGAGCCUGUCAGACAACCCAUGGGCCAUCCCAGCCAGGCAAGCCUGGCCGGAAACGAUCAUCUACAGCACCGGACAAAGCGUCAGAGCCAAUCCUGGCCGUUAAUCACGCUCUGGCCCACAGGUCAUGGCUCAUCAACCAGGCUUAAGUGCUUGCCUCCUUAUUAAUCAAGGAUGCAGCGGUACGAUCCUAUAGAACAGAUCCUGUUCAAGUAAGGUCGU
rnacentral:lncRNA from 1 species